rnacentral:tRNA from 1 species
GCCUGGGUGGCUCAGUCGGUUAAGCAUCUGACUUCAGCUCAGGUCAUAAUCUUGCAGUUUGUGAGUUCGAGCCCCACGUCAGGCU